GAUGAAGAACGCAGCGAAAUGCGAUAAGUAGUGUGAAUUGCAGAAUUCAGUGAAUCAUCGAAUCUUUGAACGCACAUUGCGCCCCUUGGUAUUCCAUGGGGCAUGCCUGUUCGAGCGUCAUUUGUACCUUCAAGCUCUGCUUGGUGUUGGGUGUUUGUCUCGCCUCUGCGUGUAGACUCGCCUUAAAACAAUUGGCAGCCGGCGUAUUGAUUUCGGAGCGCAGUACAUCUCGCGCUUUGCACUCAUAACGACGACGUCCAAAAGUACAUUUUUACACUCUUGACCUCGGAUCAGGUAGGGAUACCCGCUGAACCUAAGCAUAUCAAUAAGCGGAGGA
rnacentral:misc_RNA from 1 species